AGAGUUUGAUCCUGGCUCAGGACGAACGCUGGCGGCGUGCUUAACACAUGCAAGUCGAACGAGAAUCUAUGGAACGAGGAUUCGUCCAAGUGAAAUAGAGGACAGUGGCGGACGGGUGAGUAACGCGUGAGGAACCUGCCUUUCAGAGGGGGACAACAGUUGGAAACGACUGCUAAUACCGCAUAAUGUCAUUUGGCGGCAUCGUUGAAUGACCAAAGGAGCAAUCCGCUGAAAGAUGGGCUCGCGUCCAAUUAGAUAGUUGGUGGGGUAACGGCCUACCAAGUCGACGAUUGGUAGCCGGACUGAGAGGUUGAACGGCCACAUUGGGACUGAGAUACGGCCCAGACUCCUACGGGAGGCAGCAGUGGGGGAUAUUGCACAAUGGAGGAAACUCUGAUGCAGCGAUGCCGCGUGAGGGAAGAAGGUUUUCGGAUUGUAAACCUCUGUGGAGCGGGACGAUAAUGACGGUACCGCUCAAGGAAGCCACGGCUAACUACGUGCCAGCAGCCGCGGUAAUACGUAGGUGGCGAGCGUUGUCCGGAAUUACUGGGUGUAAAGGGAGUGUAGGCGGGAAUGCAAGUCAGAAGUGAAAACUAUGGGCUCAACCCAUAGCCUGCUUUUGAAACUGUAUUUCUUGAGUGAAGCAGAGGCAAGCGGAAUUCCUAGUGUAGCGGUGAAAUGCGUAGAUAUUACUCAGAACACCGAUUGCGAAGGCAUCUCACGAAUCCGCCAUUGACGCUGAGGCACGAAAGCGUGGGUAGCGAACAGGAUUAGAUACCCUGGUAGUCCACGCAGUAAACGAUGAUGACUAACCGUCGGCGAUACACUGCCGGUGGCCAAGCGAAAGCGAUAAGUCAUCCACCUGGGGAGUACGUUCGCAAGAAUGAAACUCAAAGGAAUUGACGGGGGCCCGCACAAGCGGAGGAACAUGUGGUUUAAUUCGAUGAUACGCGAGGAACCUUACCCGGGCUCGAACGGCAGCUGAACGAGGCGGAGACGCCGAGGCCCUCCGGGGCGGCUGUCGAGGUGCUGCAUGGUUGUCGUCAGCUCGUGUCGUGAGAUGUUGGCUUAAGUGCCAUAACGAGCGCAACCCUUGUCCUUAGUAGCCAGCAGUAAGAUGGGCACUCUAGGGAGACUGCCCGGGAUAACCGGGAGGAAGGUGGGGAUGACGUCAAAUCAUCAUGCCCCUUAUGAUUUGGGCUACACACGUGCUACAAUGGCGUAAACAAAGGGAAGCGAGACUGUGAAGUUAAGCAAAUCUCAUAAAUAACGUCUCAGUUCGGAUUGUAGUCUGCAACUCGACUACAUGAAGCUGGAAUCGCUAGUAAUCGCGGAUCAGAAUGCCGCGGUGAAUACGUUCCCGGGUCUUGCACUCACCGCCCGUCA
rnacentral:rRNA from 1 species